AUGGGUUUCUUCCUACUAGAGUUCGAUUCUGUUCUUAAUUGAAUGGAGUAGCUAUCUUUCGGGGUGGUCAAUUGGUUGUUAUAUCUCCACUAAUAAGCAGAGAGGGGUAAAACCUUCAAAGUAAGUUAUGUGGGUCAAGGUAUGAUGAUUAAUUGGAGUUCUAGUUCAUUUACUUUGAGAAAAUUAGAGUGUUUAAAGCAGCCUCUUGGGGCACUGAAUACAUUAGCAUGGGAUAAUAAAAUAGGAUCUUCACAAUAUAUUUUAUUGGUUUAAAUUGCGUAUGAAGAUAAUGAUUAAUAGGGACAGUUGGGGGUAUUCAUAUUGGGUGGUUAGCGGUGAAAUGCUCGGAUCCAUUCAAGAUGAACUAAAGCGAAGGCAUUUACCAAGGAUGUUUUCAUUAAUCAAGAACGAAAGUUAAGGGGAUCGAAGACGAUUAGAUACCGUCGUAGUCUUAACUAUAAACUAUGCCGACCAGG
rnacentral:rRNA from 1 species